rnacentral:rRNA from 1 species
UGAUCAUGGCUCAGAUUGAACGCUGGCGGAAUGCUUUACACAUGCAAGUCGAACGGCAGCACGGGGGCAACCCUGGUGGCGAGUGGCGAACGGGUGAGUAAUACAUCGGAACGUGCCCAGUCGUGGGGGAUAACGUAGCGAAAGCUACGCUAAUACCGCAUACGAUCUCUGGAUGAAAGCGGGGGACCGCAAGGCCUCGCGCGAUUGGAGCGGCCGAUGGCAGAUUAGGUAGUUGGUGGGGUAAAGGCUCACCAAGCCGACGAUCUGUAGCUGGUCUGAGAGGACGACCAGCCACACUGGGACUGAGACACGGCCCAGACUCCUACGGGAGGCAGCAGUGGGGAAUUUUGGACAAUGGGCGCAAGCCUGAUCCAGCCAUUCCGCGUGCAGGAUGAAGGCCCUCGGGUUGUAAACUGCUUUUGUACGGAACGAAACGGCGCUGGUUAAUACCUGGCGCUAAUGACGGUACCGUAAGAAUAAGCACCGGCUAACUACGUGCCAGCAGCCGCGGUAAUACGUAGGGUGCAAGCGUUAAUCGGAAUUACUGGGCGUAAAGCGUGCGCAGGCGGUUUUGUAAGACAGGUGUGAAAUCCCCGGGCUUAACCUGGGAACUGCAUUUGUGACUGCAAGGCUGGAGUGCGGCAGAGGGGGAUGGAAUUCCGCGUGUAGCAGUGAAAUG